AAGUCGUAACAAGGUCUCCGUAGGUGAACCUGCGGAGGGAUCAUUAUGGAUGAUAAUCAUAAUAUAUAUGAGAGGAGGGGGGGAUUGUUGAUUUGGUUGUUGGUGCCACCGCCUCUUGUAUAUCAAACAAACGAUCACGACCAUGAGAAUUUGUAUGUGAAGAGAAGAAAAGUGUUUGCCUGAAAAAGAAAGGAAAGGAAAGGAAUAUCGUCGUUUUGAUGAUGAUGAUGGUAUUUCUUUGAGAGGGAAAAAACACAACUUUCAACAACGGAUCUCUUGGCUCUCA
rnacentral:misc_RNA from 1 species